rnacentral:rRNA from 1 species
GACGAACGCUGGCGGCAUGCUUAACACAUGCAAGUCGAACGGAAAGGCCCUGCUUUUGUGGGGUGCUCGAGUGGCGAACGGGUGAGUAACACGUGAGUAACCUGCCCUUGACUUUGGGAUAACUUCAGGAAACUGGGGCUAAUACCGGAUAGGAGCUCCUGCUGCAUGGUGGGGGUUGGAAAGUUUCGGCGGUUGGGGAUGGACUCGCGGCUUAUCAGCUUGUUGGUGGGGUAGUGGCUUACCAAGGCUUUGACGGGUAGCCGGCCUGAGAGGGUGACCGGCCACAAUGGGACUGAGGUAAGGCCCAGACUCCUACGGGAGGCAGCAGUGGGGAAUAUUGCACAAUGGGCGGAAGCCUGAUGCAGCAACGCCGCGUGCGGGAUGACGGCCUUCGGGUUGUAAACCGCUUUCGCCUGUGACGAAGCGUGAGUGACGGUAAUGGGUAAAGAAGCACCGGCUAACUACGUG